UCCAGCCUGCCAGUGACUCUGUUCAACGGCCGCGGUAUCCUAACCGUGCGAAGGUAGCGUAAUCACUUGUUCUUUAAAUGAGGACUAGUAUGAAUGGCAUCACGAAGGUUAUGCUGUCUCCUUUUUCUAAUCAGUGAAACUAAUCUUCCCGUGAAGAAGCGGGAAUAAUAAUAUAAGACGAGAAGACCCUAUGGAGCUUUAAACAGAUAUACAAUUGCCUCCAAUACAAAAAAAUUUCAGAAAAUAAAUAUCCACCCAGGCAUUUUGAUAUAAAGUUUUCGGUUGGGGUGACCACGGAGCAAAAAAUAACCUCCGCAAUGAAAGGGAAUUUUACCCUAAACCCAGGGCUACAACCCUAAGUAUCAAUAAUUUGACACUAAUUGACCCAUACACUUGAUCAAUGAACCAAGUUACCCUAGGGAUAACAGCGCAAUCCAUUUCAAGAGCUCCUAUCGACAAAUGGGUUUACGACCUCGAUGUUGGAUCAGGGUAUCCCAGUGGUGCAGCCGCUACUAACGGUUCGUUUGUUCAACGAUUAA
rnacentral:rRNA from 1 species